rnacentral:rRNA from 1 species
AACGAACGCUGGCGGCAUGCCUAACACAUGCAAGUCGAACGAGACCUUCGGGUCUAGUGGCGCACGGGUGCGUAACGCGUGGGAACCUGCCCUUAGGUUCGGAAUAACUCCCCGAAAGGGGUGCUAAUACCGGAUAAUGUCUUCGGACCAUAGAUUUAUCGCCUUUGGAUGGGCCUGCGUUGGAUUAGCUAGUUGGUAGGGUAAAAGCCUACCAAGGCGACGAUCCAUAGCUUGUCUGAGAGGAUGAUCAGCCACACUGGGACUGAGACACGGCCCAGACUCCUACGGGAAGCAGCAGUGGGGAAUAUUGGACAAUGGGCGAAAGCCUGAUCCAGCAAUGCCGCGUGAGUGAUGAAGGCCUUAGGGUUGUAAAGCUCUUUUACCCGGGAUGAUAAUGACAGUACCGGGAGAAUAAGCUCCGGCUAAGUCCGUG